GGCACCCUAGCUCAGUUGGUAGAGCGCACGGCUCAUAUCCGUAUGGUCAUUGGUUCAAUCCCGAUGGGUGCUA
rnacentral:tRNA from 1 species